GACGAACGCUGGCGGCGUGCUUAACACAUGCAAGUCGAACGGACAGGCCCUGCUUUUGUUGCUUUCUCGUUUGGCGAACGGGUGAGUAACACGUGAGUAUCCUGCCCUUGUCUUUGGGAUAACUUCACGAAACUGGGGCUAAUACCGGAUAUGAGCUCCUGCUCCAUGUUGUUGGUUGGAAAGUUUCGGCGGUUCGGGAUGGACUCGCGGCUUAUCCGCUUGUUGGUGGGGUAGUGGCUUACCAAGGCUUUGACGGAUAGCCGGCCUGAGAGGGUAAACGGCGACAGUGGGACUGAGAUACGGAGCAGACUCCUACGGGAGGCAGCAGUGGGGAAUAUGGCAGAAUGGGCGGAAGCCUGAGGCAGCAACGCCGCGUGCGGGAAGACGGCCUUCGGGUGGUAAACAGCUUUCGAAGGUGACGAAGAGUGAGUGACGGUAAUGGGUAAAGAAGCAACGGCUAACUACGUG
rnacentral:rRNA from 1 species